CUUUUCCUUCCUCUCUGAAAUAAAAAAUAAGUAUAUACAUUAAAAAAAAAACUAUAUUGUACAUGUUCAGCAACUAGAGAGAGAGAGCUUUUUAAAAAAGUCUUUUUGCAUUUUCAUGGUUCUUAUUUUGAGGAACCAAAGAGUGUUUUGAAAGUUUGUGUAUUCCACAUAACUUAACCUUUUAUGAAAAUUUUACAAUUAAGUCAUUUUAUUGAAAAACAUAUAAAUGCAGCCCUAAUCGAUCUGAAGGCCUGGGAGAUCUGGCUUCUAGCCUCUGUCUCUGUGUGCCUUGGCUCACUGCCUCAUCCAAAUCUACGGGUGAGAUUAACUGCUGUGAGUUGCCAAAUGUCAACAC